UCUCUCCUCUUUUUCUUUCGUUGCUCUUCUCCAAGGUCCUGCUCUCUCUCUCGCCCUCUCUCUCCCUCUCUCUCUCUCUCCCAGUGGAAUAUGGGUUCGAAGCGGACUCGGCGAGAGAGACGCACCAAGCGCACCACAGCCAGGAGGCGGGUCUAGUGUGGCGGCUCUGACGCGGAGCCCGUCAAUCCGUAUAGGAAACGCAUUGAACAGACGGGAGAGAGGGGGUGAAUAAUCAUUAACUACCCCCCCCCCCCCCCCCAAACAAGUCGCUCUCUGAUUUAUAGUGAUUAAAGUCAAACACACGACGCGUUUCUCAUUCAAACUCCACAUGCAGGUACGCACGCGGAGUGAAACGGAUCAACAGUGGAAACGUGAGUGCGCCUCGUUGCGCGGAGCCGCACCGGGGCCAGAAGCGGCGUCUUCGACUUUAAAUAAUAGAAACAGCCCCUUUAAAUAUAUUUAUAUGCGAGGAGCACGAUGCGUCACUUUUGGUCUUCCGUGCUCCUCGGCGGUCGCACCGAGCUGAUCCUGCGUGUAGUCCGCCUUCAGCGAAGCGAAGCGCGGCGCCGCGCGAGGUGAGCCGCACCGGACCAAGGUCGCCACCUAGCGGACGCAUUUACGCUUGUUCCUCCUUCAAAAUUGGAUUUGAGACAAUGUGGAGUAUGACCUCCCUAAUACUACACGGCAUUGCACUUUGUGAAAUUGACUAUGCGCGCUUUUGAUCGGCGGUGAGCUUGUAUUGGAUUAUUGUCACUCGCUAUCAUUCCAAAUUUCUUCCAAGGUUUACGUGCAUUCAGGGUGGAACGUGCACACAGAGCCCAUCCAUCAGCGCCGGGGACGGAUCGGGCGUUAUCUCGGCGCGGCAGAGCAAAUUGCCUCAUCUGUUAAACGGGAAGGUGAUGCAUCUGGAGGGAUGAAACAUUUAUCGGAGGACGAUUUUUCAUUACGGCGAGGGGAGAGCUUCCAUCAAUAUUUCAAUGGCCCUGCCUGCCCACAGUGUGUGUGUGUGUGUGUGUGUGUGUGUGUGUGUGUGUGUGUGUGUGUGUGUGUGUGUGUGUGUCGGCAACUAUUAUAAUGACAAAAUGUCCCCACUAGGAUGGACAGAAUGCUUCAAAGCAAGGACACUGGGAUGUGUCUCACUUCUCCACGAGCACCCAGGGAUCCUGUGUGUUGAGCUGACCGAUCUGUCGGCGCCACGGGGCCAGUGUGACUUCACAGCGAGCCAGAAACGCAGGCGAGCUGAUGGAGAGCUGAACUCGCGUCACCCGCCUGCUUAUUAGAGGCGCAAGAAGGUGAAACCAGCUCUGGUUUGGGCUUCUUCUUCUUUAUAUUGUUGGUAAAUGUUACCCACUUACAUUUUUACAGUGUUUAGCGGCACAAACAAUCAGUAAUAUUUGAUUAAAGAAAAGCCACGUUCCCACAGCCUGCAAGAAGUUUCUGUUUACUUUUGUAAGUGUUUGCUAGAAACUAAAUUGAACCACACAGAGACUGCAAAUAAGAGGUAUUAACUGAAUGUAAAUACAUUCUAUUCAUAUUGCAUCAGGACGGAGCCAAUAUUAAUAUAAUCCAGGCCGAUUAUUUGUCUUUUGUUGGACUGUAAACACACUGGGCCGAGUUUGUAAAAAUCCCCGGACUGCGUGUUAUUAAAUGCAGAAUGUAAACUCACAACGUUCCCAGAGACAAACAGCAAGGACGUGAAUUUAUUUUGCUGGUGGCUGCGGCGCUGCUCAGACACAGAGAGCUGGAAAUUUCAUGCGCAACACUGAUACAAGAAGUAGCUGAUAGAAUGUGCUCUUUAAACGUGUGGGUGAGCUGCAGAGGUGGCAGCAACACACAAUACGCAAGUAAAAGUGCGAGUCCUUGUCUCGAGCACCACUUCAGAGUCUUUACUCGGGUUGAGUGAGUACACGCUCUGAAAUGUACUCAAGGUACAAAAGUACAAGUGCUUCAAUAAGAAAAUCAUAGAUUUUAAACACACCUGCAUCCGAUAACGAUGAAUCCCAGUUCAGCUUCGCCUCCAAUCGCAUUCAACGUGUUUAUUCCAUUAUUUAAUCACUCAUUUAUUUACAUCCUGUUCCCUGAAUUGGUUUUAACACAAAUGGGGAAAAAUACAUUAAACACCAACAAAUGCUGUAACUUGAAAUGUAUAUUUUAAUACUUAUAUUGAAAUGAAAAAGAGCAGGGGAACGUCAUUAAAUUAUUCUCUUCAUUAAAUCUCCAGGGGACGUGACA
rnacentral:lncRNA from 1 species